AACAAGACGAAGAACGAAACGAAGUAGUGAUUAAGGUCGAUGUUUCAGAAAGCUAGUGGUUGCUGCGAACUAGUACAAGCCUUAAAACGAAUUACAUUUCAGGAGUCUUUGACAGUUUUUGUCACGCGACAGCGUUAAAUGUUUGAGAGAUAUGUUCUUGAAGAACAUAUAAUUUGGGUGGUACCGCGAAUUUUCGUCCCUUGA
rnacentral:ncRNA from 1 species